CCACCCGCCCCGCCCCCCCAAUUGCAUUUUAAAUGUUAACUGACGGGAUGUUCGUUAACAGCUCCGAGUUACUCACGUUAUUUCCUUUGUUUUUGUCUUCUGAGACCCGUUUAGUGACAAUUGCUAUCUGAAAGCAGUGUUUAAAGCCGGCUGUGUUGCUGCUAAUCGCCCGCUUUUCCAUUCUGAGUUACAAAACUGACCAAACGAGCACAACCUAGCACUGCCAAUAGGCAAAACCAAAGGAGGGCAAACCAGAAACAUUUCAGCAUUGGAUUCCACUGGCACUGAAGCCCUGUGUAGUACCAAGAGCUGCUGUUUGGGAGGGGGACCACACACCUUGUUGGAUCUUCACUGUGAGACCCCGCCGUGCCAGGCUGACUGACAAGCGUCUUAGGAAGACCAAAGGCAGACACAGAAAGGCUUUAACUUUUCACAAAGAUUUCCUUCAUUUCAUGUAUUUCCAGGUCCUCCCAUUUUCUCCUCACCUGUGGAGUUCAGACGAUUGCUAGCUCCUGAAAUCUUUGUAUUUUAAUGGUAUCUUCCUGUGUGUGAGCAACAUUGCUCAGUAGCAAGAAUCAGUACUUGUUAUUUUAACACUGCAAUUAUAGUUCUGAAAUAAUGAAGACAAAGUAUCAGUUAAAGGGCAGUUUGUAAGGAAGAUGCAUUUUCAUUUCUACAGAGUGAUUCAAUCCAACCAUUAUCACUAGAAAAAAUGUGUAGCUGUCUUACUUAGCAAGUUCAGUGAGAAAAAUGGGGUGGAAGUCCUGUGAAACCAACACCAACAUGGUCAGUGGGAUUCUGGCAAAAUUUAAAGCACUUAAUCAAAUGGCUUUUAUAUGAAAUCAGUUUCAAAAAACCUUCAUUUCCCUUCCCAUGUAGCAAAUCAGUAACUAUCUGUUCUCUGUUAAGUAUGUAAAUACUCAUCAACUCAUUGAAACAUACAUAAAGCCAGAUGGUGUGCAGAAAA